AACGAACGCUGGCGGCAUGCCUAACACAUGCAAGUCGAACGAGGCCUUCGGGUCUAGUGGCGCACGGGUGCGUAACGCGUGGGAACCUGCCCUUAGGCUCGGAAUAACUCCCCGAAAGGGGUGCUAAUACCGGAUAAUGUCUUCGGACCAAAGAUUUAUCGCCCUUGGAUGGGCCCGCGUUGGUUUAGCUUGUUGGUAGGGUAAAAGCCUACCAAGGCGACGAUCCAUAGCUGGUCUGAGAGGAUGAUCAGCCACACUGGGACUGAGACACGGCCCAGACUCCUACGGGAAGCAGCAGUGGGGAAUAUUGGACAAUGGGCGAAAGCCUGAUCCAGCAAUGCCGCGUGAGUGAUGAAGGCCUUAGGGUUGUAAAGCUCUUUUACCCGGGAUGAUAAUGACAGUACCGGGAGAAUAAGCUCCGGCUAACUCCGUG
rnacentral:rRNA from 1 species